rnacentral:rRNA from 1 species
GGAUUAGAUACCCUGGUAGUCCACGCCGUAAACGAUGUCUACUAGUUGUCGGUUGUCUUGUACGACGGGUAACGCAGCUAACGCGAUAAGUAGACCGCCUGGGGAGUACGGCCGCAAGGUUAAAACUCAAAUGAAUUGACGGGGGCCCGCACAAGCGGUGGAGCAUGUGGUUUAAUUCGAAGCAACGCGAAGAACCUUACCAAGUCUUGACAUCCUGCGAAUUUUCUAGAGAUAGAUUAGUGCCUUCGGGAACGCAGUGACAGGUGCUGCAUGGCUGUCGUCAGCUCGUGUCG